rnacentral:lncRNA from 1 species
ACCCAGAGAUGAGAUCUUGUUUGAACGCAUGUGUACCUUUAAGGCAUGAAACCAUUGCAGAAACUCUUGAGUCCAUCCUUGCUCAGGGACGAGCAAGAGGUAAGCUUGGGGGAGUUUGUUGACGGUCCUUAAGUACCAAAUUUAAUUAUCAAAUAAAUAAAGAAAAUGAUCCAAAUGCAACCAACACCCAGACUUAGGGUUUUAUCUGACAGAAUUCCACGAGUUUUGGUGUUUGUCUAUUUCUGCAAGCGGUUAUUAGGAAAUAUGGAGGAAAGGCCCACAUGUCGGGUUUACAUAGAGAUAUUAACAUGCCGCGCAAUUUUCUAUCAUCUAAAGACUCCAGAAGCCACG